UUUUAAAAAAUCUUAUUUAUCAUUUAAAUUAAGUAAUAAAAAUAUUACAAUUAUUUGUAUUUUCCACUUUUCGAAGUUUCUUUGUAUUUAAAUUUUUCAGAUCCGAAUUAUAACUUGGUAUCAUACCACCAAAAUCUGGACAUGUAAAUAAAAAUAGGUAUGUUGAAUCACUCUCAAGUACCACAUCAGAGAUUCCGUACUUGUAAUUGAUAACAUGUACCAAUAUCAAUGAAAGUUGAUACCUCCAAUAGAUCCAAGGUACUAAAUCACAAUUACUUUCGAAUCCAUGCAUCUAGAGAGAUUAAUUACUAUCCCCGUCGCUAGCCGGCGACAACAGGGGCAUUGUUCUCCUGCUUCCCCCGAUUCCAGCCAUCGCCUGGGUUCUGUUCAACAUCCUGGAGUCGGCCUUGAAACAGAUCAACCGGAUGCAGGAGACCGAAGACGGGGUCGUCAACCUCGGGUUGGGCGGCGAAAUCGCCGGGCUGCUGGCGGCGAUGGCUAUCUAGGCGUCAGCUACAGCUGCAGAGGCGGUGGCCUUCGGGUACAACAACAGGGGCACGCUGUUGCUGAUUGUGGUGGCGCCGGUGAUUCUGUGGGUGCUAUACAACAUUCCUCAACCUGCUUUGAACCAGAUCAACCGAAUGAGAUCUUGAGAGAUGGGAAAAUAUAAUGUAGGAUUUGGUUGAUGUAAUAAUUGGUCACCUGAAAGCAUGUGGUAGAGAUUGUUAUUGGGGGUGAGAAGGGGAUGAUGAUGAUUGAGGAGACGAAAAUAUGAUAAUGGAGGAGAUGCCGACGGUUGUGUUUUGCUUAGAUGGGUGGGUAGUUAAAUAAAAUAUUUUUUUUAAUAAUUAGAUAGUAUUUUUAUAGUUUUGUUUUUUUGUUUUAGUCUUUAAAUUUUAGUAUUUAAUUUAAUAAUAAACAAUGUUGUUGUUAUGUGAUAACAAAAUAGACGGUUAUUAUAACCGAUUUUAUCACCCAAAAUGAAUGGACUGAUAAAAUCAAUGAUGGAUAAAUUUUAAAUAAACCGCAAUGAGAACAUAUAUAUGAACACAAUCAUAAAAGGGCGAGCAGUGCAGCUGGUCCUCUGAAUCGUUGCUUUACAUUGACA
rnacentral:lncRNA from 1 species